UCUGUAAUUCUGGGCCGUGUUCCGGAAGCCUCGUAAGACAAAAGCGAACGAGAGGCGGAAAAAAGGAAGACGCUUCCUGAAGUUGGGGAUGCUGGACUAGUUUUCAUACUAGAUCCCCUCGUGGCAGCAUUAAGGAACUUCACAUUCUUCUCACACUAUUCAUGGAAAGUUCCUGGAACUCCCACAGCAGCAAGAAAACUUCGCUUGUAGGAGUCCUUAGCACAUCUGUAAAGUUUUAUUGGCCAAAAUGUGAUACAUCUCCAUUUCUGGAUCAGUCACUGUGGUCAAGUGCAAGACGCUCUACAGGACUCAACCUGGGGAUGAGGUCUGUCUACUCCAUCCAUAUGGUCACUUUAUACUGAGGUUGGGGUUGCUGCUUUUUAAGAGAUGAAAAGAUCCAAGGUGUGACACAGAAUGGAUGACUGGAGUGGAAAAAAUGAAAAUGUCAUUGGAAUAUGGAAGUAAAGAAACUGAGAAGCUGAGAGUUUUUGCAUCAUCCAGUCAGGUAUGGAAAUCACCAAGGAUAAAGGAAGGAACUGGGUUAGAAUGGAAGACCUUUUGCCAGGAAUGGAAGACUUCAGUAAAUGAAGAGAUUUGACUAGGAUGUUGGCAGAAGAUAGUGAGAAGGUCUAAGAAAGGGUGGUAUAUCCAGAUGACAUAAACAUCAAAAGAACGGUGAUUUUUGCAGGAGGGAAGGGGUGAAAUAAUUUGAAAGUAGCAAUGGGAGAGAGCAAGGAAUGCACCUACCUCCAAUCCUGGCCCUGACAUUCUCUCAGGGACCAGAUAGGUUUCAACUAAGGUAAGGCAAGGAGAUGAUGGGAAAAUGAGGGAAAGGGGACUGGACUGCUGAACACAGAUGAGAGUCACAUGAAACACUAGAAGGGUUUAUUUAGGGAGGGGGAGAAGUGGAGAGAAUAACAGUUUGUGGAUUAUGAUUUUAUGAGAAAAAGAAGGACUUAGAGAGGCUGGAACUUCUGCAGAUUAGUGAGCUACACAGGGAUGUGAAGCAUGAUUGGCUUGAACCUGGUAGUCUCAUCUUGUCAUCCUCUUAGUGGUGUGUGCAGCCUAAGGCAUUAAAUUAUGGUGCAGCCUCUGGGCUAAUAGUUACUCUCUCAACAGUGGAGAGUUCUACAUAAUUUGCCAUAAUUAGAUACAUUACCUUAGAGAAAGUGCUAAACCCUUCAAAAUCCCAGUUGCUUAAUCUAUGCAAUGAGGAACUGAUCUAAAUUUCCUAAACUUCUUUAGACAUGUUAAGGAUCUGACAUUGAAAAAGUGAGGUUAUGCCACUGGUAAGUUUGCAGUAUUAAAAAUAAAUAUUCAUCUUUCAAAUCAAUGUAUCAGGAGCUAAUAUUAGGAAGAAAGAGAACUAUCUGAGUGUUUAUGCAUCUGCUGCAUUUGACUUCAAACUGUGUUAAUGAUCUCAACAAAAUAGGUAAGUGAAAGAACAAUUCAGCAUAUUUUAGAGACAUUUGGUUAUGCCUUCCUGCUAAAGCAAAUACAUUUUGUAACUCAUAAAUAUGAAUUAAUUUAUGACCUCUCAAACGCUAAAUAGUAAAGUUGAAAUUGAAUUGCCAACCUUAUCUCGCACCUUCCUUCUAUUCUGUUGGACCCCUAUCCAACUGAUGUAUCAGUUCAGUCAAUGCUGUAACCACACUAAUAGCCUGCUGCACAAAACUGCCUAUUUCAAUCCAAAUAGUGGAACAACUUUGGGCUGAAUCCAACAAUGAAUCCUGCUCUCUGGGGAGCUUUUCUUUAGGUCUUCUUAUUUCUCUGAGUUCUGUGUCUUGGCAGGUGUUUUGUUGAAUGGUUUAGAUUCUUCAGGGAGAGAGGUAACUGAGGGAAAAAGCAGGAAAGGCUGAGCUUGAUUAGGAAAGGAUAUUGUAUAAAAUCAAAGGGGGAUAAUUUAGACAUUACAUCGGUAUAUAUUCACUCAUUUGCAAAAAAAAAAAAAAUUAUAUAUGGGAGGUAAAAGCCUGAUACAGGUGAAUUAAUUUCACUAAGCAAAGAGUCAAAAAUUGGAAUAUUUCAGCAGUUGAAAAAUAUAUUUGCACAUAUAUGAAAGGAGUUCUGAAGUUUCUUUAUCUUAUGACAGUGAAUGUAAUUUUGCAUUUUUGUAUUUGAGAAAUACGGCUUGUUAGCUUAUUUCAUCCUAGAUAUUGUACCUGUAGUUUGGGUAAUUAGCCACUAGAUGGCAGGGCCGUGAUGUGAAUAAAGGUUACAAAACAAUACAUGGGUAUUCUGUACUCUUAGAUAAUUUAAAAAGCCAACACGUGGAAUUCCUCCCAACACAGUUUAAAAGUAGAAGAUGAGCACAUAUUAUGUAUUAGGAUAUUUGCAAGCACUGGAGAUGCAAAUUACAUGAUCUCUGUCACCAAAGAGAUGCUAGUUUUAUA
rnacentral:lncRNA from 1 species